UACGUAGGGUGCAAGCGUUAUCCGGAAUUAUUGGGCGUAAAGAGCUCGUAGGCGGUUGUCGCGUCUGCUGUGAAAACUGGGGGCUCAACCCCCAGCCUGCAGUGGGUACGGGCAGACUAGAGUGCGGUAGGGGAGAUUGGAAUUCCUGGUGUAGCGGUGGAAUGCGCAGAUAUCAGGAGGAACACCGGUGGCGAAGGCGGCAUCCUGGACCGGCAUGACGCUGAGGCGCGAAAGCCAGGGGAGCAAACGGG
rnacentral:rRNA from 1 species